rnacentral:misc_RNA from 1 species
UGUGGGAGCGAGCUUGCUCGCGAUGAGGUUCUCACAUUCAACAUUUUUGUUGACUGUCAGACCGCUAUCGCGAGCAAGCUCGCUCCCACA